UGAGAACUGAAUUCCAUAGGCUGUGAGCUCUAGCAAUGCCCUGUGGACUCAGUUCUGGU
rnacentral:pre_miRNA from 2 species